rnacentral:rRNA from 1 species
CCUACGGGAGGCUGCAGUGGGGAAUAUUGGGCAAUGGGGGCAACCCUGACCCAGCGACGCCGCGUGGGGGAAGACGGCCUUCGGGUUGUAAACCUCUUUUGUACGGGAAGAAGGAAGUGACGGUACUGUACGAAUAAGUCCCGGCUAACUACGUGCCAGCAGCCGCGGUAAUACGUAGGGGACGAGCGUUGUCCGGAAUUACUGGGCGUAAAGGGCGCGCAGGCUGUGCUGCAAGUCAGCUGUUAAAUGUCUGGGCUUAACCCGGGCAUGCGGUUGAGACUGCGGUGCUGGAGUGCUGUAGAGGCAAGUGGAAUUCCCAGUGUAGCGGUGAAAUGCGUAGAUAUUGGGAAGAACACCGGUGGCGAAGGCGACUUGCUGGGCAGCAACUGACGCUGAGGCGCGAAAGCCAGGGGAGCAAACGGGCUUAGAUACCCGUGUAGUC